UCAAGAUUUUAUUCAUUUAAAAGAAACAAAACAAAAAAUCCAUUAAAAAACUAAAUAUAUCAAACAUUGAAUGAUAUAGGUGCAGAAUGUUAUGAUUAUGCACAUUAUUUCACAGUCUGCCCCUGCCUGCUCUUGUUUUCUAUCCCUCCUGUCAUAUCAUGCAAUCAGCUCAUUCACAUCACCUGCGUCCUCCACCUCUGCUCAUUGCCAGAUUCUCAUCAGCCUUACAUGUGAUUAUCCAGCGUUCUGUCCCCGUGCCUCGUUCUUGUCCUGUGUCCUCAACCUCGUUCAUGUCCUCUGGUUUUUUGACUCCUGCCUCUGGUCCUCUUGGUUUUGUCCUGCCAUCUGCUCCCACGGUAACGACGCUUCUUUUGGUUUUUUGGCUCACGUCUCUGCUUUCUCCCCUGAACGGCACUUCACUCCUUCGGACUUCUGGAAAAUGACCCACACCUGUCCCACGGAAACAAGAACCUUGCCUCCUCCUUCAAAAUCAGAUUUGCACUUCGGAUUCUUGUGUAUGACCCUUGCCUGUCCAACGACCCAGUCUCAGUCUCUCAGAUCCCACCCAAAAAAAAAAAAAAAAAACACAAACAGUGACGUCAUCGACUCGCUCCGGAAUCAAAACAACUCAGUGUUUCUUCAUGGACUCAUUCAGCGAAUAACAGAACUGUCAUGAAAUCAGAGGCAAUGUCACGAUUAGGCAGGAAAGAGGAACAAAUACUCAGGAGACAGAAUUAAGGAGGACUGGACUGUUUUAUCCAACACUUUAAAAGACAGAAGUAGAACCAGAAUCCGUAACGGGAGGACCAGAGAGGUGAGGCAGAGCGGCAGGUGAGUUGA